CCUACGGGAGGCAGCAGUGGGGAAUAUUGCACAAUGGGGGAAACCCUGAUGCAGCGACGCCGCGUGAGUGAUGAAGUAUUUCGGUAUGUAAAGCUCUAUCAGCAGGGAAGUAAAUGACGGUACCUGACUAAGAAUCCACGGCUAACUACGUUCCGGCAGCCGCGGUAAUACGAAGGGGGCAAGCGUUAUCCGGAUUUACUGGGUGUAAAGGGAACGUAGACGGCUAAUCAAGUCAGUAGUGAAAACCCAGGGCUCAACUUUGGGACUGCAUUUGAAACUGUUGGUCUUGAGUAUCGGAGAGGCAGGCGGAAUUCCUGGUGUAGCGGUGAAAUGCGUAGAUAUUAGGAGGAACACCAGUGGCGAAGGCGGCCUGCUGGACGACAACUGACGGUGAGGCGCGAAAGCGUGGGGAGCAAACAGGAUUAGAUACCCGGGUAGUC
rnacentral:rRNA from 1 species